rnacentral:rRNA from 1 species
GUGGGGAAUCUUCCGCAAUGGACGAAAGUCUGACGGAGCAACGCCGCGUGAGUGAAGAAGGUUUUCGGAUCGUAAAGCUCUUUCGUUAGGGACGAACGUGCUCUUUGUGAAUAAUGAGGAGUAAUGACGGUACCUAAAUAAGAAGCCACGGCUAACUACGUGCCAGCAGCCGCGGUAAUACGUAGGUGGCAAGCGUUGUCCGGAAUUAUUGGGCGUAAAGCGCGCGCAGGCGGGAUAUCAAGUCUGUCUUAAAAGUGCGAGGCUCAACCUCGUGAGGGGACAGAAACUGGUAUUGUUGAGUGUCGGAGAGGAAAGUGGAAUUCCAAGGGUAGCGGUGAAAUGCGUAGAGAUUUGGAAGAACACCAGUGGCGAAGGCGACUUUCUGGACGAUGUCUGACGCUGAGGCGCGAAAGCUAGGGGAGCGAACGGGAUUAGAAACCCUAGUAGUCC